AUUAACGCUGGCGGCAUGCCUUAUGCAUGCAAGUAGAACGGGUUGUCGCAAGACAAUCAGUUGCGAACGGCUGAGUAAUGGAUAGGAAUCUCCCCAAUGGUGUGGAAUACCUCAUCGAAAGAUGAGCUAAUACCACAUGACCUCGAAAGAGAAAAGCGCUUAACUGCGCGCCGAUGGAUGAGCCUAUCUCCCAUCAGGCUGUUGGUAGGGUAAUGGCCUACCAAACCUAUGACGGGUACCCGCCCUGAGAGGGGAAACGGGCAGAAUGGGACUGAGACACGGCCCAUACACCUACGGGUGGCAGCAACAGGGAAUCGUGCGCAAUGGACGAAAGUCUGACGCCGCAAUGCCGCGUGGAGGAUGAAGGCCUUAGGGUCGUAAACUCCUUUUGCCAUAGAGGAGAUGCUAUGGAGAAUAAGUGACUGCUAACUCUGU
rnacentral:rRNA from 1 species